AUCCACACCCACACACACAUCCACACACCCACACAUCCACACCCACCCAUCCACCCACACACACACCCACCCAUCCACCCACACACACACACAUCCACACACACACACACACACACACAUCCACACACACACACACACACACACACACACACACACACACACACACACACACACACACACACACACACACACACACACACAUAUAUAUUUUUUUAAAGAUUAGACACAAUACAUCCCCAAACACCCAACACAUGCACAAAACACAAUAUAAGCAAAAUUUUAGACUUGAUAUUCUCAUUGUGCUUCUAAUGCUUUUCCUACUGGUGCUUUCCUUUUUUGUUCUUGAAAAUAUCAUGUGGAUAUUUUCUUUACUUAGUCUCCGCUAAAAAAAUUAACAGUUGCUAUCAGUAAUUCAUCUAUGAUAGGAAAAUGCUUCUUUUCUUUAUAUGUGAAUUAUGUAAGUAUUCCUCUUUCUGUAUGCCACCAGAGACAGUUCAGAUGAAAUAUUGGAAGAACAAAAAUAUUUAGAAAUUCAUGAAUACUAUUUUUAGUGACUUUUAGUCACUACUGACUUGACUUAAGGAGUUUUUUUGUGAGCUUCAGUUUCUCUUUGUUUGGAAUGUUACCUCACUAUUUCUUUUUUUUUUUUUUUUAAUUAAGAAAUUUGAAUGUGUUCUCAACCUUUGUUAAAAUUUUUAGACAAUGAUGCUCACUGAAGUACAAUUUGCUGCAAAAAUAUUUUGAUAAUGCAGGAAAGUGUAUAUAGGCUGUGUAUUUGGCUUUCCUUUUUCAUGUUUUAAUAAAUCAACAGAUGGGGAAAGUUGCAGUCAAAUGUACAUCAUUGGGAAUGGACACACCUAGUAAUGUCAAAGUUUUUUCAACUUUGUAUACAUUUGAUUAUAUUUGUGUAUCUAAUAGUAAAUUAUCUCAUACUAAUUAUUUUAUUUUAAUUUUUAUUCAUUUAAUUUUUAUUAUUAUUAUUAUUAUUAUUAUUCUUUUUACAGUCCAUGACAGAAGCAUUUAGAAUAUUAAAAUAUGCAUUAGUUGUCAUUAUCAUCAACAUAUAUCUCUACAGACAAGUCAUUCAAAUUAUAUACUAUUGCAUCAACUUGAAAUCAACAUUAUAAUAUGUAACUUUAUGUAUGGGGUGAAGUAUUGAAUUAUGUUUUUACAAGGAUAUAAAUAUUUUUUCUUUAUUUUUCCAGUUUAAAUAUAUAUGGGAGAAUUCAGUGUAGUGUAAAGCCAUGUUUUUAAUGAAGGGAUUUAUUAGUAAAAUUUUAAUCUUCACCCUGUAUCCUCAAUUUCUGACUUUUAUAUAACCCUGUAAAACUAAUAAACACCUACAAUUCAUAA